AGUGAACGCUGGCGGCAGGCCUAAUACAUGCAAGUCGAACGGCAGCACAGCAGAGCUUGCUCUGUGGGUGGCGAGUGGCGGACGGGUGAGGAAUACAUGGGAAUCUGCCCAGUCGUGGGGGAUAACGUAGGGAAACUUACGCUAAUACCGCAUGCGCCCUUCGGGGGAAAGCCGGGGACCUUCGGGCCUGGCGCGGUUGGAUGAGCCCAUGUCGGAUUAGCUAGUUGGCGGGGUAAUGGCCCACCAAGGCGACGAUCCGUAGCUGGUCUGAGAGGAUGAUCAGCCACACUGGAACUGAGACACGGUCCAGACUCCUACGGGAGGCAGCAGUAGGGAAUAUUGGACAAUGGGCGCAAGCCUGAUCCAGCCAUGCCGCGUGAGUGAAGAAGGCCCUCGGGUUGUAAAGCUCUUUUGUCCGGAAAGAAAAGCGCCGGGUUAAUACCCUGGUGUCCUGACGGUACCGGAAGAUAAGCACCGGCUAACUUCGUGCCAGCAGCCG
rnacentral:rRNA from 1 species